UACAGAGGGGGCAAGCGUUAUUCGGAAUUAUUGGGCGUAAAGGGCUCGUAGGCGGUCUGUCGCGUCGGGAGUGAAAACUCAGGGCUUAACCCUGAGCCUGCUUCCGAUACGGGCAGACUAGAGGUAUGCAGGGGAGAACGGAAUUCCUGGUGUAGCGGUGGAAUGCGCAGAUAUCAGGAGGAACACCGGUGGCGAAGGCGGGUCUCUGGGCCGAUACUGACGCUGAGGAGCGAAAGCGUGGGGAGCGAACAGG
rnacentral:rRNA from 1 species